AUCGCUACGACAUGACUAUUAAAUAAACACGUCCCAGGGUUUAUUCGCCUCGCUCUGAUAAAAUGGAUGCCUGCCCGAGACUUGCAUUUUAGCACGUAAAUAUCAGCAUGGGAAACGAAGUAAAGUGCAAGCUAACUAGAAUGAUGGCUUGCUUCUUUUUCUUUGUUAUGGAUUUGGGGUGUUGAUUGCUAUGUAUAACACCAAUCUUCGCCGAUUGAUCAGGUUUUCAUCAUUGGACCCCUGAAGCAGGUAAGGAAAGCAGAAGCAAUGUUGAGGGGCAGGAUGUUGUGAGAUACUUUUGACCCUUCUGCUGCACCUGGAAUCCAAAGUUUUGCAUUCUUAUUACUCGAUUGUCACGCUAAACAAACUUGAGUGAGACAUAUCUCACUUCUUUUGCUAAUAGAUGAACCCUGAGCUGACAUACCAAUUCAUCUCACAUUGGACGGGGUGCUAAAUGAAUGCAUAUGUUUGAAGUUAAAUUCGUAUUGCUUUAUUAAGCGCGAAUGAAACUGAGUUUGAUUCCGUACUUUCACUUUGCAACUUGCACUAAAUAGAAUCUCUUGCAUGCACGUAUUAUAAAGAAAAAGACCAUUGCUGGUCUUAUUCUUUGAUAGCAGAGUAAAGAGUUUUAGACUUGGUUUAUGCAUGCAACAACAAUAACAACAGACCUAGUGUAAUUCCACAAGUGAAGUCUAGGAAGGUUAGUGUGUAUGUAAAUCUUACCCUACCUUGUGAAGAUAUAGGCUGUUUCCAAAGACCCUCGAUACUUGGUUUAUGCAUGCAGUUGAAUGUAUUUUAGUGCACUAAUGCCUCUCUUUCUGGAGUCGUAAGAAUAUUU
rnacentral:lncRNA from 1 species